rnacentral:snoRNA from 1 species
AAGACUAUCCUCUCAGAGAUGAUUUCUAUAGUUCGUUACUGGAGAAGUUUCUCUGAAUGUGUAGAGAGCAUCAGAAACCACAAGAAAGAGGCGCAGCGGUAUCUCCUGAAUGUGAAGCUGGCUCUUGGUGUUGCUUCUUGGUUCUUCUCUUCCUUUGGGAGAGGAAGAGGAAGAGGAUGCAUUCUUAGUAGU